rnacentral:rRNA from 1 species
CCUACGGGUGGCAGCAGUAGGGAAUCUUCCACAAUGGGCGAAAGCCUGCUGGAGCAACGCCGCGUGGGUGAAGAAGGUCUUCGGAUCGUAACACCCUGUUGUUAGAGAAGAAAGUGCGUGAGAGUAACUGUUCACGUUUCGACGGUAUCUAACCAGAAAGCCACGGCUAACUACGUGCCCACAGCCGCGGGAAUACGUAGGUGGCAAGCGUUAUACGGAUUGAUUGGGCGUAAAGGGAACGCAGGCGGUCUUUUAAGUCUGAUGUGAAAGCCUUGGGCUUAACCGGAGUAGUGCAUUGGAAACUGGGAGACUUGAGUGCAGUAGAGGAAGGUGGAA